ACCUCCAAUCAGUCAAGAAUACCCGCUGAAUUUAAGCAUAUAACUAAGCGGAGGAAAAGAAACUAACCAGGAUUCCCUCAGUAACGGCGAGUGAAGCGGGAAGAGCUCAGACGUAAAAUCUUCGGAAAUGUCGUCUGGAGAAGCGAGAUGAAACUGUUAGGGCGGGCCAAGUCUUCUGGAACGAAGCGCCAGUGAGGGUGAUAGCCCCGUACAUGCCUGCCCGAAAGGUCGAAUUCUGCUUUCAACGAGUCGAGUUGUUUGGGAUUGCAGCUCUAAGCGGGUGGUAAAUUCCAUCUAAAGCUAAAUAUUGGUGGGAGACCGAUAGCGAACAAGUACCGUGAGGGAAAGAUGCAAAGAACUUUGAAAAGAGAGUGAAAGAGUACCUGAAAUUGCUGAAAAGGAACCGAUGGGAGGCAGUGUUGCCUGUGGUCACUCGUGGCUGCAGCAAGUCAGGCUUCCUUGGGUGCGCGGGAGAGGGGUUCGGACCUGUAUGGGCCGAGCAUUCCGUCGUGCGCCCGAGGA
rnacentral:rRNA from 1 species